rnacentral:rRNA from 1 species
AUUGAACGCUGGCGGCAUGCCUUACACAUGCAAGUCGAACGGUAACGGGCCUUCGGGUGCCGACGAGUGGCGAACGGGUGAGUAAUGCAUCGGAACGUACCUUUCAGUGGGGGAUAACGUAGCGAAAGUUACGCUAAUACCGCAUAUUCUGUGAGCAGGAAAGCAGGGGAUCGCAAGACCUUGCGCUGAUUGAGCGGCCGAUGUCAGAUUAGCUAGUUGGUGAGGUAAAAGGCUCACCAAGGCGACGAUCUGUAGCGGGUCUGAGAGGAUGAUCCGCCACACUGGAACUGAGACACGGUCCAGACUCCUACGGGAGGCAGCAGUGGGGAAUUUUGGACAAUGGGGGCGAACCCUGAUCCAGCCAUGCCGCGUGAGUGAAGAAGGCCUCGG